UGUCAAAUUUUGUCCCCUGCACUUUUUACCAUCCAAAAACAAUAUCACGCUAUAUUAAAUAAACGCAGGUUGAGCACUAGGACCAAGCAGAAAACAGUCGUGUUGAAGCCUGUUUCUCAUUAGAACAUACUGUAAAGCGGUAUAAAUGCUGCAAGUUCCGACGUGCAUUCCAUCCACGAGUCUCAUUUCCACCUGGAAUGUACAUGCGUCAAACAUGGUGGCAGUAGUCGGCUGUUUGUCCUUCUCUGAUAUUAUUGAGCAAAGAAUCUCUCACAUCAGUGAUGUUCUGUUGCUAAUACAUAACAAUGUGUGUGUCCGAAUCCACAGGCAGGAUGCUUACAACUACGGGUCCUCGCCGAUCUAGCAAGGCCUGUUCCUGCUAAGAUCGGAACCCAGCGGCUCUGAAUUCGGACAGUCUAGCCUUCACCUCUACGGUGGUCCGUAGGUCCCGUCACAGCCGUGGCGGCAGCUACACGCAAAGAAAAAAUGCUAAAGCUAGCGAAAAUCGAGCAGGAAUAUUAAAGAGCAAGUCAACCCCUACCAGAGUCUAACUCCACUCCCACUUCAUGUUUGAAAAAUGCAACAAAUGCUGUUGCCUGGCAGACCGAGAAGGGGGAGCUGCUAACAAAUACACACACACACAGGCUCAUGACAGCAUUGUGACAUCAUAAUGUACCAGUUUACAUCAUAGCAUACCUCUUAGCCAAUAGCGGUGGUAGAUUUAAAUUAAAAUACAGUGCAGAGUUUUUACCUGACAAUGGCACAACACUGCCAGUUUCAGGCAGAAUAUUUAAAUUUUAACUAAGAUGCACUGAAGUGCCAAAUUAUUGACUACACGUGUCUGCAGCACGAUUAGGCACUCGUUUAUUUAGUUUCUCAGCAAAAAAAGUUUAUUUGGGGGUGACUUGCUCUUUAAGGAGCUACAGCAGCUUCACGUCCAUCAGUGUUUGUUCACAACCGUUUUCAGGUAAAGUAACUUUGUUUAUUCUAGAAGCUUUCAGGACUUACAUGUUAACUUUAGAUUGUUUCAUGUAUGUUUUAAGCUACAGAGUGACCUGAUUAAAUGCACACAACACAUUACUACAGAGUAUUAACAUGUAAACCAAAUGCAUUAUAAGCGUUAAAUGCAUUAGGAUGUUUUCUAAUGUAAAUUGGACCUUAGAACUUCUUAUUUUGCAUCAAAUGGGGGUAAAAUGCUUAAAACAAAACAGGCUUUUAAAUAAAGUAGCAUUGAAGUGUUGUCAAUGAGCAUUUGUUUAUUCAACUUAUGCCUAAUAAUGAUUAGAUCUGUCUUAAAAAUGUAAAUUCUCUGUAGUUUUUAUUUAACUAUUCCCUGCCGCUUUUCUUUAAACUGAACAGAACCAGUGUACUGCAGGUUUUAUGUUUGUUUUACAUUUUUCAAUUAAAUAAACUAUUUUUUAAUAAACCAUUACACUACACAGGUCAGCAUGCACUGUGCUGCACAUCUGCCUCUGUGCUGAAGUUGUGGGUCUGGAGGAUGAGCCUGAGGAAGAUGUGUAUGGAGGAGGUCAGUGGUGCUCUGUCCUGGAGGAGGCACCAGCAGACCACCACUACUGUUAACAGGCAAGUCAUUUAUGUAGAACCUCUAUUAAAAACAACACUGUGGAUUUAUUUGCUGAAGAGUCACAAUUGUUAUACCAGUGGAUCCAUAAACCAUCUCCUCAUUUCAUAUGUCUGAAUACCUCUUAGAGAUGUAACAGCCGUCGUCUGAGCCAGCCCAGCAGUCUCUGUAGAUGGACGAUGGAGUGGACAGUGAGAGGAAGCGUCCCAAAGCUCUCUGCAGACUGUCCUGUAUGAUGUUCCUCUGACCAGAAACGUCCAGCCACGGGUCUGCUCCAGCCCUCCAUCCACGUCUGGAUCCUCCUGCAGCAGAUCCAGCUGCACUGUUAAAGACUUCCUGCUCACUCAGUUUAAAUAAAUGAUCCAGGAAGAGUCACUCAGCCGGCGCGCAAAGCAUGCUGGGAUAGCCUUGUUCUGUGAGGAUACAACAGACCUGUCCUCGAAAUGUGGGCGGAGCGAGGACGCGUUUGAGGACGCGAGAAUGAGUAUUCUUGGAAUUCGGACAGCACUCGUUGCUGUGCUGUGACAUCAUCAAACUCAAAAUGCACUCUUACAAGAAUCCUUCCCGUGGAUUCGGACCGGACACAUAAUAUGUAGUGUGUAAUGAAUGGAGGACCCAAGGAUGUGCAGAGGUGAGGCUAGCGAGAUGGACAACUGCCUGGUCCACUUGUUUUGAUCCAAAACGUGUAAUAGGUGGAGGUUUGUAGACAGAUGUGAGAGAACCACUUUUUUCAUUUUAUUUUACUCUUCAUAAUAAAUUUAUAGCUAUACUAUGUUAGAAAGUUGUUAAGAGGCAUGAAAAAAUGCUUUAAGCUAAUUUGUCUUCCAAAUUUGCUAUUGUAGCUUUAAAAGCUUGUUUUGAGCAUAGUACGUUCUUGCACCAUCAAUUUUUUUUACCACACUUGUGAGUCUCUGGAGUAUGGCUGAUGUGUGUAUGAUCACACAAUAUUUUACAGACACGAACACACCCUCCCAAGGUUUCAACGUUCUCCCACUUCCCUAUUUCUCCUCCCCAUUCUUAGGAGGCGGAGCCUGAAGGCCGCACUGAUUAGUUGCAAACUCUCACUUUCUUGAGAUUCAUGCAAAACAUCUGCUGUUGUAGUCUUGUAGGAAUCAAAGGAAUAGGGAGCCUAAGUCACUUUCGCGCCAUGGGUCCCCAGAAGAACGAAAAAAUGAAUGCAAGUCAAUGGGGCUUAAAACGCUAUUUUCUAAUCCGCUUUGCUUUACGCCCUGGAUCACACAUAUGUUGUACUGCAAUUUAAAUGAAGUGUAAUGAUGGGUGUUUCAACCACGCCAGUCACGCACUUUGAGCUUUAUUAGCUUGUAAAAGUUUGUAAUUAGGGUUAGGGUUAGUGACUACAAUCCAGAAAUAUGUGACGUCACCACAUCUCCUCUCCCCCAAGUAGCUGCUACUUACCAAAUGACCAGAUUUAUGGUGGUUCUUUCCUCCUGUGGGAAGUUUGCUGAACUUACAGCCAUUUUCUCUCAGUUUUCUCCAUGACUGGUUCGAUGACAUCACUUUCGUGAAACGCAUUUGUAGUCCUGGACUUAUUUUCACACAAAACCUAAAAUUGUGUUUCCCUCUGUUUGAAAAUAAGCGCGUUCUUGGUACCAAAAUGCAUCUCUAAAAUUCACGGACAUCAUGUGUAAAAUCCAUGAUGGCACAAAACAAGCAGAGUUAGACAAUAGUGUUUUUAGCCCCAUUCACUUGCAUUCAUUUUUUUGUUCUUCCGGGGACCCAUGAUGCGGAAGUGACUUACCCCCAAAUUCCACUACCUCCGCUCCGGCACGAACUCCGCAGCAAAAUCGGUCCCGUUGUAGUCAUUCAGAGCCAUUCCACUACUGCGGCUGUGCUGCGGCAGUGCGGCGCAGUGCGCCGCCCUCUGUUCCGGCGUCCGGCAAAAAUAGAAUCGAUCCUAUUUUUGCCGGACGCCGGAGCACCUCCGUAGUCAAUGGACAGGAAUCACAACCGCCCAACAGGAAAGGGGGCAAGCACAACUUCCGUUAUUUCACAAUAAAUCGAUAAACAAAAAGCGUUUUUUGUUUCACAUGCACAGGUUUAACAACUUUUAACAACUAUCAAUGGCGGCUGAACUUUAAAUGCACAAAAAUAAGCCAUAAAUACAGUUUCCACUAUCAAAGUAGUCACACUUUGUUGAUCCAAACACUGCUGAUCUCUCAACAAAAAUGAUGGGCAGAUUAAACAGUUCAUUUCGAUGCUUCUCCCACACAACGGGUGUUUGGAUAUAACUUCCGCGUUUAUUGCUUGGACUGCAUCGCAAGAUCUCAAAAAUCCAGCGCAUGCUUGUUUGCGCACCUCAGGUCUCCGUACCGGAGCGGAGCCGUUGUAGAGCGGGUACCAGUAAAAAUUGAGUUCGGAAGCGAGCGGCUGCGGAAGGCGGGGACAGAGCGGAGCGGAGGUAGUGGAAUUUGGGGGUAAGGCUCCCUACACUUACAACUAAAUAAAAAUAUGAAUAUUUUGAACAUACAGCUGCAAAAUAAGAACUACAACAACAACUAAAGAAGAAAGAUAAACAUUGGGUGUGUAUUUAGAUCGCUUUAGUUGUUUGCUUGGAGGGGGAGGAGCUUAAUUAUUCUUCCUGGAAACCAGCCACCAGGGGGCAUGUGCUCAUUUUGAGUCUUAUUUUCCUGGUUCCAAAUGGAACAAGAUCAUGGUUUUACAUAAGGCAUGAAUGAAUGAAUGAUAUUUUUGAAGAGACCUAAACUGUUUCUUCUGAGAGAUUUCAAGUUGCGUUUAUUCUAUAUAUUUCUAUCUAAUGGUUUUACAUCCAUCACAACAACUGGCCUCAUUAAAAUAAUUGUAUUAAUAUUUCCGUUUAGAAAAUCAAAAAUGGAAAUCAGCUAAAGUUAAAAGGUGGUCUGUAGUAAAAUAUGUUCAAAUGUCAAAGAAAACUCUGUUUUUCUAAUAGUUUUGUUUUAAUCUUUCAUGAUACUUUCAGUACAAAUUAUUGCAGAUUAAAACAUCGUUGUGCCCUAAUGGUACUCUGAAAUUAUUUCAGCUGUAACGCCACACUGAAGUCGAUAUGCCGUCCUGUUUCCGUCACACCCAGAUUAAACUAAACAACCGUGUCUUUUACCUCUGAAGAAAUGUUUCAUCCUGGUCAUUCAAUCUUUCAAAUUUUUAUUUUAACAACACCAUUGAGCUUAUCCUUCAUGGCUCUGUGUGUUGACGAGAGCAGUGAGAGUUAAGACAGAACAGUAAAAAGUGGAUAAAAACACUACAAAACCCUUUUAGAGUUGCAAAUAGCGGAGUCUGCUGCUAAAUCCAUGUGUUUUUGUCACUCUGAGGAAAUAAAAAUCUUCAUCUAUA